UGACGUUACUCGCAGAAGAAGCACCGGCUAACUCCGUGCCAGCAGCCGCGGUAAUACGGAGGGUGCGAGCGUUAAUCGGAAUUACUGGGCGUAAAGCGCACGUAGGCGGCUGUUUAAGCCAGAUGUGAAAGCCCCGGGCUCAACCUGGGAAUGGCAUUUGGAACUGGGCAGCUAGAGUACAGUAGAGGGGUGUGGAAUUUCAGGUGUAGCGGUGAAAUGCGUAGAUAUCUGAAGGAACAUCAGUGGCGAAGGCGACACUCUGGACUGAUACUGACGCUCAGGUGCGAAAGCGUGGGGAGCAAACAGGAUUAGAUACCCUGGUAGUCCACGCUGUAAACGAUGUCUACUAGCCGUUGGGGUCCUUGAGGCCUUAGUGGCGCAGCUAACGCACUAAGUAGACCGCCUGGGGAGUACGGCCGCAAGGUUAAAACUCAAAUAAAUUGACGGGGGCCCGCACAAGCGGUGGAGCAUGUGGUUUAAUUCGACGCAACGCGAAGAACCUUACCAGGCCUUGACAUCCUUGGAACUUAGCAGAGAUGCUUUGGUGCCUUCGGGAGCCAAGUGACAGGUGCUGCAUGGCCGUCGUCAGCUCGUGUCGUGAGAUGUUGGGUUAAGUCCCGUAACGAGCGCAACCCUUGUCCUUAGUUGCCAGCGCGUAAUGGCGGGAACUCUAAGGAGACUGCCGGUGACAAACCGGAGGAAGGUGGGGAUGACGUCAGGUCAUCAUGGCCCUUACGGCCUGGGCUACACACGUGCUACAAUGGCCGGUACAGAGGGUUGCCAAGCCGCGAGGUGGAGCUAAUCCCGAAAAACCGGUCGUAGUCCGGAUUGGAGUCUGCAACUCGACUCCAUGAAGUCGGAAUCGCUAGUAAUCGUGAAUCAGAAUGUCACGGUGAAUACGUUCCCGGGCCUUGUACACACCGCCCGUCGCACCAUGGGAGUGGGUUGCACCAGAAGAGGCUAGUCUAACCCUUUCUUUUCGAAGGGAG
rnacentral:rRNA from 1 species